AUGCCCACAGAGAAUAGCCACCUCCAGACUGUGGCUGUAAGUGCAUCCCCAGGGACAGAUUUGUUCCAUACGCCACAUGAAAGGCACAAUUUCACGAACGCCACAACUGCUGAAGAUGCAAUUGCUGCUUCAUCAACUGGAGGCUUUGUUUGGAAAGAGGGCUCCGAUUUACCUAUGCCAGCUGAGGCCACUGAAGCAAAUCUCACAUUGAUCUCUAAUUAUGAAGCUGGAUUUGAAUCGAUGAAGAAUGGCACCGUGAUGCCUGUGGCUCAUUUGUCCAAAGGCGUGGAGGAAGAGAAAGAGAAAGCAUCAGAAUUGCCGCUUCACUCUCUACUUGUUAACAGGAAUCCAAGAAUCGCUGAGUCUAUCACUGUUAUGUCCACACGACGGAGGCUGGGAGUACCUAUGGUGACUGCCACUCGUCCUCACAUAAUUGAUAACUGGGCCAGGUCAAAUGACAAUGAGGAAAAACGAGGCCAAGACGCAGAUGAAAAUGGGAUUUUGGAAUUGGAAAGAAACAAGUAUCCAUUGAGUGAGUCAGAAUCCAUCUUGCAUGACAGAAAGGAAGUUUCUUUGACUACGGAGCGCGUGAUGACAAACAUGUGUUUGAAUUGCCUGCAAGAAAAAAGGCCAUCGUCAACAGAAAAAAUGGCUGUUCUGUCUGCGUUUUUCGACCGAGGCAGCUCACUCAGUCUUGGAGGAAAUGGAAAUAUGCUUACUGUAAACUCCAGUCACCACAAGGCCUCAAUGCCGAGCUCAUUUGAAGCGACAACAAAGAAACAAGAGGACAGAACAGUAGUAUUUGAUGGUGCCAAAACAUCCAGAAAGAGCACAUUUGAUUUCUCUGUAAAUCUUUUGGAUGGGCUAGAUUACGAGCUCAUACCACCCCUUUCCUCAUUAAACUCUGAAAUGAAUCUCAGUAAAACCAUGUUGAAUGAUUCAUUUGCUAGUACAUCUUUCUCAAACUCGGGAACGAUUGAAGUCAAGGCAAACACAACCAGAACAGUGUUUCUUACUUCAAAGGUGGAAAAUAUGACAGUUUCCAGAUUGAGUGAUAUUAGCAAAUCUUUUGAUAAAAGGUUGUUAUCAACAACCAGCAUGCCUUAUCCUUCAACUUCAGAGAUCUUUCACACUUUAUUAUUAUCAUUGAGAGAUAAAGAAGAAAAGAUAUCUGGGAAGACUGUGAAUCUCAGAAACCAGUCAAAAUUGGUUUCUCAAAUCCAAGAUAAUUCAUCUGUAAAACUACAAAACAUAUCCUCCAGUUCACUUCAUAGUUUUCUUGGCAAUCACACAUUGGCGGGUGUUGACAUUACAAAUAAGGACACAGAGUUUAGUUUAGAAGAUGGGGGAGGGGAAGAGCGGGAGCAUGCUGUUGGGCAAGUUAUGACAAUUCCUCUCACCAAUGCUCCAUCUCCUUCUGUCCAUGUUCUCUCUGACCAGAACAUUGAAAACAGUGGGAUUAAUGACUCCAACAGUGGGGUUAAUGACCCCAUCAGUGGGGCUAAUGACCCCAACAAUGGAUCAAUGAUAAGUGGUAUGCUAGACUCGUUUAAUUCUCUCUUUAGCCAAGCUCGUGAAAUAAUCACAUCAAAAAGCCACACCACUGACCACAUUGACGAAUCAGCCUUGCCUAUGAGAAUGCCAUCAAUCGAAAGCCAAAGUGCAACAACAUCCUUCCGCUCUACGAGGCAGACCACGGCAGCUGUCAAAGUUCCUCCUGCCUCUCAGGCUCUGACAGGGAGUGCGAAAUCUUUGAUGUCUGUGUUGAGUACCACUGGCCACCUGCCAGCACAGCCCAGUGUUCUGUUCAAAGAGCAGCAGCCUAUGAGCCUCCUGCCAGAAGUCCCUAACAUGCAACGUGCAUCUGUAACUAUGAUGAGAACAUUGUCCAAAAAGCCAUAUUCUAAGAGUGCCGACAAUGCAAACGAUAUCGAUAAACGGACUGCGCCUCCAGUUGUUUUGUCACAGACAGUGAAGCAAAGUGCUAAAGUAAAUGCUCAGUUGCCCAGAACAACAGAGAAAGGACUCACGUUUUCCGCAAAGCGUAUUUCUGAAACCACAAGUAAGUUAGACAUUUAUGUGUCCGCCAUGAUGACGACAACAACACACGUUGAUGUGAAAAGGUCAACCGAACAAAGACUUGCCGUAGGUCGCGGUGACAUCAAGUCGAGUGGUGACACCUUUCGAAUCUCUGCAGACGGUGCUGGGAACCUUGAACCACCUAAAGAAUUGAAAAAUGUGAACAUGCCAAAGCUGAAAAACAACAGAGGACAGGAGUCUGACUUCUCUCAGCCUCAAGGUUCUCUUGAGGAGGUGACAGAAAUGACAAUGGACAAGAGCAGCACUGUUCACCAUGGGAUAAUGAAAACCACAGAAAGGCUGGCUGGAGAGGAAAAACGCACUUCUCCAAACAUGUCUCCCUCCCAUCUUUUAAUGAAACUGUUGGGAGAAACGGCAAGAGACAUUCAUCGGGCUGAAAAUCUCUCUGAAUCGCUGGAAGAAGAAAAUAAGUCAUUCUCCAGCCAAGCGCCAAGUCAUAAAAUGCCAGUGCAGACUGUGAUAACCCCAAGCCAGACACUAUCCCGAAUGGUAUCUUUUAAUAAGAAGCCACAUAUUGUGUCUAAACCACAGCAAUUCUCUACCCAUAGGGUCACGCUUACAAAAUAUGCCGAUGCGUCGACAAAACAUAAGCAAAGCAAUCAGCAAAGGCACUCAACAAAAGGUAAAAAACAAGUAUCUAUGACGACUUCCUCGCGGAGCACAGGCCCUCCAAAUCAAAUCAGAAAUGUGAAUGGAACAUUUGACGUCUCUCCAGAGAGUGUGAAAUCAACGUUUUCUACACCUGACAGUGUUGGAAAUCUGUUUUCACUUACCGCUGCAAAAUCGUUAAUCCCAGUUGGGCAGUCAACUAUUCCGCCUAAUAUUGCAGUAAAGACAUCUGCUUCCCACACAUCAGUAAUUCAACAUGUUUCAGCUCAAAAGCAUCACAUAAGCAUUUCGACAUCAACAACAUCAGGAAACUCAGUCUCUCAGUCCAUAACUGUUGGAAAACAUCUACAGCGUGUAGGACCGGCGACACCUCUCUUUGACAUUGUUAAAGAGGACGUCAUGACCUCUGACAUCACUGAGGCAUUAAAGGGGAGCCACCUUGUUCCCCUCUUACCGCCUCGUCCGUAUAAUGACACAUCGACUAGUCCACCCACCGACAAUUACUCGCCCACAGGGCCACUUACCGCCAGCCUGGCUUUGCAUCAUCGCCAAGGGCAAUCUUCUACUGAGAUAAUGCCUUUCGGCGCUCCAUCUCAAAGCCAAUGGGACUCGUUUACAGAUUCGGAGGAGAAAGAGGAACGGCAUUCAAAUACCUCAAAUGCUUCUGCCGAUAACGAGCAAAUAAGCCCUUCAGAGGCUCCAAUAGUGCAUGAAGUGAAAAGUGAGCAUUCUGGGUUUAGCACAGGGGCGGUGCCGUUCGCUGCCGAUAGUUCAGCUGCCACCAGCCACAUUAACUUAACUCAAUCACGACCUGAUGAGACCAUGGGAUUGAGGGUCAAGGAACCCGCCCUGCCACGUGCACUACUGCAACAGACCACUAAUGGGGUCGGGAAUGACCAUGCUUUGUCUGGAGUAAGUCCAGCGCAUGAGUCUGGUAGAAAGAUCCUGGGGUCUGGGAGUGGGUCAGAUCCAUUGGCCUUGCACCAGAGAAUUGGGUUAUCAUCCCCUGAUCUCCUCACUGGAUUAGCGGUCAUUUCCGACGAUAUUUGUGCCACUGGAAACUACACGGCCGAGAUGAACUUGAACCUGGAACGCGACGUUCUGCCCGGAGACUUGGUCCCGGCUCUGGGGAUUCUCCAGGUGGUCAUCAACCUGAAAACCAACAACAGCCAGGUGAUCCUAGAGAUAAAGUCCUGCUGUCUCUCGCCCACUGUUCAGCUUGAUGACAUCAACAUAACCUGUUAUGUGUUUUCCAGGUAGGUGUUCAUAUUGUUGUGUUUCAUUUACGGAAUAUCUCCAGCAGCCCGACUACCAACAGCUCCAGAAUAGGACUAACCUGUCAAUGCUGACUAACAUUCCAAUCAAGUCAAAUAAUGUCCUGGAAUCAAAUCAAUCCCGCUUGAUCCAGGUUAGCGGGCAUGUGUUGAAUGUUGGAAUAUUUUUGUUCGCCGUAUAUAGACGGCACCGCCCAAGGCUUGCUUGCUGAUGGUCUUAUCGCCGUUAAUUAAGCAGCAUUUCUGGGAUGGAUGGCAAAUGAAACAUUUAGAGAGCGCAGAGCGGAAAAAAACAGAAAAAAAACUCAUGUCUACCAACAGUAAAUAAACUCUUUAGCUGUGGACCACCACCACUGCCUAUAUCUGAACAGGGACGUUUUAUUUACUUGGAAAAUUGUUGACAAGGAAGAGGGGUGUCUUUUUAAUCCCCCAGUUAGGAUGGGGAUUGAAGGACAGCGAAACAUGUCUCCUUACGGUCAGGUUUGCUCCCAGACCAAUCUGAACUCCGCUUAUGUCGGCUGAGUAGCCUAUCAUUUCCAAAGAUCCAUCUUUUAAGUCUGAUAAAUCCCUGAAUUAGUGCUGAAUAUGCUUUUAUCAAAUGACUUGUCUUAAGAUCAUUUCGCAUAAACACAUCCUCAUAAUAGUUUUAGGAGAGGGGGCAUUUAUGCAGACUCAUAACCUCAAAUGGCAAGGCCUUCAUGAUCAAUAUGAACAGGAAGUCAAUGAUAACCAACUCCAUUGUUCCACUCUUCUUUACUUUGUGUUGACUUGCGGUUGUCGGAAACAUUUGGGACCUUUGCUAUUUGAAUUACACUCACUAUCAAAUUCACUUCAAAACAAAGUUCGUUGUCGUUCCUAUCACAUGUCCUGUGAACGUUUUUAUGCUUCUGUCGACCGAUACUCAACCCCCCCUCUCAGUCCCACAGUUGUUGUGAUUUGUUGUGUGAACUUCCAGGUUACCGCUGAACCCGCGAGGAAUCAGGCUGUUACCCAGCAUCCUGUCAAAGCGCGCCAGCUUCACCAUCAGUCUCUUCCAGAUGAUUAAUUACUCCAUGGCAUACCUACACUGCGAUCUGAGCAUCUGCCUCAGGAACCAUACCGAGUGUGAGAGGGUGAGACUGGGAUGCUAGUAGUAAGGGCGAGGCAAUUUUAUCGCGUGCACCGAUCAGUUAAGGAAGAGGUGGGGAGUAUGGGAUGUAGGAGAGGGGAAGUUGUGUGGGUUAGACUACGGUUCGGGCACACAGGUCUGAAUGCCACAUUGUGGAUGAUGGGGAGACAUGAAACAGGUCUGUGUGAUGAGUGUUCAGUGGGGGAAAUGGGGGAGCAUGUGUUGAUAUUUUGUGAACUGUGUGACGUCGACAGGGAGAGAUUGUGUGAAAGAGUUAGAGAUCCUGGACAGGGUUGGGGCUUUGGGUGCUGUAGUGGGAGGAGGAAAGGGGAGGAGGUGGUGUCUAGGGCUCUAUUUCACUUUUCUUAGAGCCAUUGGAGGAAACAAGGAGACUUACUGAGAUACUGAGAUGGAGAUGCCCCCCCCCCAUUGGAAUAGCUGGAGAUGGAACAUUCUCAUAAAGCUACAUUUCUUUCAAUUUCUAUUGUUUAGCCUGUAGCCUAGCCUAGCGAGCCGCCUUCAAGCUGAUAAUAGGCCUUUUAUGUGUUGUUUAGUAUGUUGCCUAGCAUAUGACCUAGUGUGCUGCCUUCAAGCUGAUAAUAGGCCUUUAUGUGUUGUUUGAGGUAUAUAGCCUUGCAUGUAGCCUUCAAACUAAAACCUCACUAUUGUUAGAAGAUGAAUUAUGUGCUGUAUAAAAUUAUUUAUUUCCAUUGACAUUGAUAUCAAACAACAACAACAACAACUGAGGCAACAUGUUUGAGGCAUGUUAAUAACAGAGGAGUGCACCUGGAAAGAGACCCGGAAACAUCGGAAUUACCGGUUAUCUCCUCCAACUCAUCGUUUUCCACACACACACGCCAUGUUUUUCUCUGUUCUGACUGCAGCAGUGUCUUCAGCACAGAGACCUCUUCUCUGAAGAGGGUCCAGAGGCUAUCACCAAUCUGAGGAACCGCAUAUCCUUUGGUCCCAUGUUGAAAGGAGCAGAGAAUUCUUCUCUCCCGGGGGAGAUGGGUAAUUAUUAGCACGACUAAGUAAUCAAAUGUGACCAGUCUUGAUAAUACGCUCAAAAGAUCCUUAUCAGAGAGGAAAUUAGUGCCUGCUGUGUGUAGACUGUUGUGCAUCACAAAUGGCACCCUAUUCCCUAUGGGCCCUGAUCAAAAGUAGUGCACUGUAUAGGGAAUAGGGUGCCAUUUGUGACAACUUGUGUUACUUGUAUGCAUUUCAGAUACAGCAGCUGAGAUGGAGAUUAUGCUUGUCAUCCUUGGGAUGGUGGUGGGGUGUUCGCUGAUGACGGGGACCCUGCUGCUUCUCUGGAUGGCCUAUAGACGGCGGAGGGCCGAUUGGAUGGUUUACUCAGAGUCCAGAGCGUGCUGCGGCUGCCUGCGUAGAGGAGACAUGAUCCUACCAUAGCCAAGUAGGAGACAAUGGUCAAUCACGUCAGCCUGCAGACCAGACCAGACACUGACCAGAAUCAAUCCAAUUCACUCCUAUAAGUGAUUCCCGGGCAGAGCUUCUGUGGUCCCAAAUCUCACUCCCUUCACCGACGCAGUGAAUGCCUUACCUUUACACUGUAGUAAUAUGACACAGAAACACAUGUACAGAACAGAUUACCUGAUGGUCGAUUAUCUCGGUCAAUUUUUUUGCAUGGUAACAAUUGCUAAUUCACCAAACAACUGUGCACAGUGAAGAUGAAUUGACGAUCAAGAGUGUUUUAUGAUCAUGUGCAUUUUAACACGAUGUGCGUAUUGUGUAUACACCAUAUUAUUAUUUCUAGUCUAUUGUACUAAGUCCUCUAACCCUGCCACUAUCUGGAAGCAAAUUGUUUGUUAAAAAAAAGUUUAUCAUCCUCUCAAUGAUUCUCAAACAUCAUCUCAAGCAUGAAGCAUAUUAUCAUACCAAUUCUGGCCAAUUGCUUUUAAAAACAAUACAGAUCACGGGCUACUUUCACUAAGACACAAAUGACAGCGACAACUUAUUAACAGCUCUGUCUGCACUACUUCAUCAUGCACCAUAUUACCUCAACUGCUUGUCAACAGUUUGUUCCUGAUUUGCCACAAGCUCAAAUGAUUAAACAACUUCCACAAUGCUCAGAUGGAUGACUGGUCCUUUCAUACACAUGCAUGAAUAAAUGCUAAUGAAUAUCAUUGUAUGCAAAGCUCAUAU
rnacentral:lncRNA from 13 species